rnacentral:rRNA from 1 species
AUUGAACGCUGGCGGCAUGCUUUACACAUGCAAGUCGAACGGUAACAGGCCUUCUGGUGCUGACGAGUGGCGCACGGGUGUGUAAUGCAUCGGAACGUACCCAGAGGUGGGGGAUAACGCAGCGAAAGCUGUGCUAAUACCGCAUGUGAUCUGAGGAUGAAAGCGGGGGACCGCGCAGCAAUGUUUGGCCUCGCGCCUUUGGAGCGGCCGAUGUCGGAUUAGCUAGUUGGUGGGGUAAAGGCCUACCAAGGCGACGAUCCGUAGCUGGUCUGAGAGGACGACCAGUCACACUGGGACUGAGACACGGCCCAGACUCCUACGGGAGGCAGCAGUGGGGAAUUUUGGACAAUGGGCGCAAGCCUGAUCCAGCAAUGCCGCGUGCGGGAAGAAGGCCUUCGGGUUGUAAACCGCUUUUGGCAGGAACGAAACGGUGUCCGCUAAUACCGGGCGCUAAUGACGGUACCUGCAGAAUAAGCACCGGCUAACUACGUG